GGCUCGGUAGUGCCAGACGGUCCACACACGCAAUUUAUAUCGUCGACUAUUCUGUGUUGGUGCGAGUAUCGCUUGUUCGACUCGGGCCCGAGCCA